AAACAGCUCAAUUUGAAUAUAUUUUAGCUGAAAAAACACCAAAUUUAGCUUUAAAAACCCGUAAAGGGUGUAAUAUACGUGCUUUUGGCAGCAUGUAAAACCAAAAUAUUCCAGAUCAUCACCACUUUCAUCGAUGCUAGCUGCAGCCCGGACCGGUUAGAUUAAACCGGAGUUAUUGUAUAAUGAAUGAAUUAAUAGAUUAACUUUCUCUCGGUUUUGGAAAAACCUAAAACAAUAAACGUUAACAGAAAGUCGUCCUUUUUUCUGAUGUCGUCCCUGAUGUCUCCGCUGCCUCUGGACUGGACUAGACUACUUCCUGGACGGGGCUACUUCCUGGUUUUACAGUGAAAAAAGGCCUUCAGUCCUGAACUCUGUUGUUUCGUUCAACCUUCCUGCUGGAACCGAACCUUCUGGACUCUGAAGCAUCCGAGCACAAACUGGAACAAAUCACUGGAACUUCUCACAACCUGUUCUCCUCCCAUAAUCCUCCACUUUCCAUGAGCAAAACAGAAUAUUAACUAUUAUUAUUAUUAUUUCUCUGGUUGAUUUUUUUGUGCUCUAAUAAUUUAUUUUACAGUGUUUGUUGUAAAUAUUUACCUAAAAGCUUUUCCUCGCUUUCGAACAACCGCUUGAAUUAAGAGUUUUGUUGUUUUCUAAACUCAAAGGUCCACUUCUUAGCUUUAUUAUGAGGUUUCAGCUGCAUCUCAGAGGCUUUCAGGAUGGAUGGAGAUGCUAAGAGGUGCUUUACAGCCCACCUCUCCUGCUCUCUGUUCUGUUUAUACUGUAUUAUUUAAUUAUGACAGGAGCUUAUUAGUAUGCUGCUGAAGAAUAAAUCCACUAACCAUCAUAUCAACUGUGAAUAUUCAGUCCUCUGCCAGACAUUAGCAGAAAUCAGUCACCUUAAAAAGGUUCAAAUGUGGCAUUUUUAUGGAGAAAACUAAUGCCACUCUGUAAAUCUGUGCAACAUCAGAGGGCUGAUGAGACAAAAUAUCACCUUUGAAGUAGCUGUAAAUGUGUAAUUUCUUCUUCUGCGGCUUUUAUGGGAUGUUACAGUCAUUGCAUUUUUGAGAAACUUUGACGUUAACCUUAAGUGGCACUAAGUUUCUGCAUGUGAAAAGAUGACACAUAACAGAAAAAGAAUAAAAAGAGCAUUUCACGGUGUUCCCUUUUAAAUAUUUUAGCAUUUUUUCUGGUUCUGGCAGGAAUGUUUAAACUGGAAGAACAAACUUCAAAUGCAGUUUCCAGCUGAAACUAACCUUUAAUAGAGUCAUAAUACCACAAGUAGCAAUUCUGUGGUGACAGUAAAGUUGUUUCGAUGAGUAAAGGUGGAGUUUUUAACAUUUCUACAGUAAAGUUUCUGAACAGGACUGGAUAUAUAGUUUCACCAACAUUCAAACUCAGAGAAAUCCAGUAUUUUAUUUAUAUAAUGCAGAGGAGUCAAACUAAUUUUAGUCCAGGUUCCACAUUCAGCCCAGUCUGAUCUCCAGUGGACUGGACCAGUAAAAUCACAGCAGAAUAACCUAUAAAUAACCACAACUCCUAAUGUUUCCUUUGUUUUAGUUACAAAAAAAUACAUUCUGAAAAUGUUCACAUUGAAGGAAUUAUCUUUUUACAAAAUAUCAUGAACAACCUGAAAUUUCUGAAGAAAAAUUAAUUCAAUUUCAACAACAGUCAGCCUCAGUUUAUCAUUUACACAUUACAAUUUCCAGAUCACAGAGUGUCUACAAAGGAACACAAUAUUUAGACUGGAACUGAACAAUGUAGUAUUUUACUAAAACGUCAAAAAAACAAGACAAAAUAUUACAAAAAUUACACACAAACAACAAAAACGAGAAACAAAUGACAAAAAAAUCAGACAGACGACACAAAACAAAACGAAAAGUGUCAAAAGAUUUGACAAAAAAGUUACGAAGCGACACAAACGAGACAAAAAAACGACAAAAGUGAGACAAAAUAUUACAAAAAUGAAACACAAAAUGACAUAAAUAAGACACAAAGUGACAAAAAUUAGACCAAAAAUUAGACAAAAUAUGACAGAAAUGAUACACAAGAUGACAAAACUGAGGCAAGCGACAAGUCAGACAAAAAAAAAGCCAAAAAACAACAAAAAAUGCAAAAUAUUACAAAAAUGAGACACAAAACUAUAAAAGCAAGAAACAAAAUGACAAAAAAAGUCAUAAAGUGACAAAAAAAUGACAAAUGAGACAAAAACACAAGCGAGGCAAAAAGGAAACACAAAAUGACAAAAAUCUGACAAAAAACAACAAAAAGAAGACAAAAUAUCACAAAAAUGAGACACAAAAUGACAAAAUAUCAAACAAUAUAGUUUUACUUUAUAGUAUAUAAAUAACAAUAAUAGUUUUACAAUUUAGGAUCAAAACAACUUGUCAUGAUGUAGAAAUUAUUUUAAAUUUAUAGUUUUACUAAUUUACAAUCUGCAGUUAAUGUCUUCUCUGGAAUUUUUACAUUUUGAGGACCGGAUUGGACCCUCUGGAGGGCUGGUUUUGGCCCGUGGGCCGCAUGUUGGACACCCCUGAUGUAAUGUAAUGGUGGUGAAAACAACACUCCCAUGAUUCCUAACUACAUCUUCUGUCAAUGUUUUGAUUAAGAUAAGAUAAAGAUAAGAUAAAGUUCUUUAUUUCUCCCCACUCCAGGGGAAAUUUACAUUGUUACAGCAGCUUUAUUUACAAUAUAUACAAGGGUGGCAAAAUGAACGACCCCAAGCACCAAAAAUAUGUAAAGUUUCAGCACAUUUCUAAGUAGCCUGUUCUUAUGUUGUCAUAUUAUUUUGUCAGGGUGGGUUUUUUUCUGAUUCAUGACACCAUAAAUGUUCUGCUGGUUUUCACAUUGAUGCACUGGGAAUCUUCAGGUCUCCCAGCUGACCUGAAAGCAUCUGAUUAGUUCCUACAUCAGAGCCAGACUGUCGUUAUUCCUCCGUGUGACGGAUUAGGUGAUGGGAUGACGCCUCAGCCAGCUCUAAGGUUUAAAAAUGUGAUGAAAAAAAGCUGCCAAGUGGACUUUUGAGUUGAUGUUGUGAAACCUUGAGUCACAACUGAACUUCCAUGUUCGACAUCAGUAUGUUGCUGUUUCAUAUCGGGGCUGUAAUGAACACUGGAGCCUGCAGGUGGCGCUAGAAGGACCUUUGAGCUGCUGUUAUAUCAGCUUUAUUUCGCACUUUUACACUUCAAGUGGUUGUUCGAAGUCGUGAAAAGCUUCAGAGAACCGCUGGAAACCAUGGAAAGUUAAAAACGAGCAGCUCAGUAAUUAAGAGUUAGCUGAGGAGGCGGAGCAACAAUGCUUCAAAUCUGAUUGGCUGGAUUGAUUAACGAGGUCUGUGAUUGGCAAAAGUAUCUCUGGUGUUCAAACUUAUUGGCUGGAGAUUUAAAGGACAGGUUCACUUUUUAUUUAAUGCAUUGCUACUGCACCAGAAAGUGAAAAACAGUUUUUAUUACAAGAUAUAUUCAAGUUAUAUUAAGAUAUUUUUAUGUUAUUGUGACCGAAAACUUCUGCUCUUAUAUGAUAUGCUAUUUAUUUCACUAUAACGGGAACUUUUUUCACUAUAGCACGAUAAAUUUAGUUCUAAUAAUGUUGAGAAUGGAUGAAUUAUGGAAAAUUUGCAGUUUUGUUAAGUUUUUCUUCAAGUUUAGGUUGAAUGAUGGUGAGAUUCUUUUAUUGAACAAUGGAAAAAGUUACUCAUUUUGUUGAGAAAAACUUUAAUUUUUUCCUUUUCUUUUACUGUUUUUAUGGCAAAUCUAAUAUCUGGCCAAGAGACAAUGUCAGAAAAUUUAUUAUUUGGCAACCAGUAGCACAUUUACAGUCAUUAAAAAUGUAAAUAAAGCUGCAUAAAGCAAAACAAAGCUUCCAUAUAAACGGCUUAGUUGCUGCUGUCUAUGAAAUGUUUUGUGACAGCACAGCUUCAACAGUGGAGCAGAAAUACUCCAAAUAUGAGCAGAAAUACUACAAAUAUGAGCCGAAAUACUAUAGAUAUGAUCAGAAAUGCUACGAAAAUGAGCAGAAAUACUACAAAUAUGACCAGAAAUACUACGAAUAAAUGCUACGAAUAUGAACUUGUUCAAAAAAAUCUUCUUUUUCUGUUCACAAUACUACGAAUAUGACCAGAAAUUCUACGAAUAUGAUCAAAAAUACUACAAAUAUGAGCAGAAAUACUACAAAUCUGAUCAGAAAUAAUAUAAAUAUGAGCAGAAAUGCUCCGUAAACCUCUCAGCUGUAAUGAAACAAGUGAUUUUCUGUGGUUUCCAGCGGUCUGUAUUUUCUCGUCCGUCUUCCUGCCUCCUCCUGAAUAACUUGAAGCAUCUUCUGUCUUCCAGUAAACAAACAAACAGGUUAAAGGACUUGUGUGUGUGUGUGUGUGUGUGUGUGUGUGUGUGUGUGUGUGUGUGUGUGUGUGUGUGUGUGUGUGUGUGUGUGUGUGUGUGUGUGUGUGUGUGUGUGUGUGUGUGUGUGUGUGUGUGUGUUUAUCUAUGCAGUAUUUGUUGUCACGGUGCAGUAACUCUUUCAUCAACAUGUCAAACAAAGUGUCAAAUCCGUGUCGAUGAUGCCGGUCAACCUGCACCGAGGCUCUCUGAGUUGUCGGGGAAAAAAACAAACAAACAAACGAAGCUUUCGGCUCUGAACUUCCUCCUCUGUGUGAUGAUGUCAUCAUGAUGCAAUAAUGUACAGAUCAGCUGCUGCUUCUCUAUUCUCCUUAUGAGCAUUACUGAAGCAACACUGGAAUGAAACAAACAGGGAUGCACUGUUUGAAAUGAGAUUGUUUGUGUGUGUGUGUGUGUGUGCGUGCGCGUGCGUGCGUGCGUGCGUGCGUGCGUGAGUGACUGAAAUGACCAUCAGCCGUCUGAUUUAAUCACUUUGCUUCCAAAAUAAAAGCUUGUUUUCCAUUUACCUGAAUGCCAUGCAAACAGUGGAAUAAUUAAGUGUUUAAAGGAGCAAACUGCUGCACACAGGGCUUCUCUCUGAAACACAGAGCCUCCAUCAGCUUCUUUUUGUACAGUAUUUAUUCUCUCAGCUUGUUUUAUAUGAGGAUGAUGAUGAUGCAAAUAUGCAAAUGCAACUUGUCAGGUUGAAAUCAUGUGAUAUUUCUUAUCGUUUUAUUUCUGUAGUUUUGUUUGUUUUCAUUAAAAACUGCUGUACGUCCU
ensembl:lncRNA